rnacentral:rRNA from 1 species
UACGGGGAGGGCAAGCGUUGUUCGGAAUUACUGGGCGUAAAGGGCUCGUAGGCGGCCAACUAAGUCGGACGUGAAAUCCCCAGGCUCAACCUGGGAACUGCGUCCGAUACUGGAUGGCUUGAAUUCGGGAGAGGGAUGCAGAAUUCCAGGUGUAGCGGUGAAAUGCGUAGAUAUCUGGAGGAAUACCGGUGGCGAAGGCGGCAUCCUGGACCGACAUUGACGCUGAGGAGCGAAAGCUAGGGGAGCAAACGGG